rnacentral:rRNA from 1 species
UACGAAGGGGGCUAGCGUUGCUCGGAAUUACUGGGCGUAAAGCGCACGUAGGCGGCUUUGCAAGUCAGAGGUGAAAGCCCGGGGCUCAACCCCGGAAUUGCCUUUGAGACUGCAUCGCUAGAAUUGUGGAGAGGUAAGUGGAAUUCCGAGUGUAGAGGUGAAAUUCGUAGAUAUUCGGAAGAACACCAGUGGCGAAGGCGACUUACUGGACACAUAUUGACGCUGAGGUGCGAAAGCGAGGGGAGCAAACGGG